rnacentral:rRNA from 1 species
GACGAACGCUGGCGGCGUGCCUAACACAUGCAAGUCGAGCGGGGAUUAUCGAAUGAAGUUUUCGGAUGGAUUUUGGUAAUUCUAGCGGCGGACGGGUGAGUAACGCGUGAGCAACCUGCCUUUCACAGGGGGAUAACGCAUCGAAAGGUGCACUAAUACCGCAUGAGACCACGCUCCCGACAUGAGAGAGGGGUCAAAGGAGCAAUCCGGUGAGAGAUGGGCUCGCGUCUGAUUAGCUAGUUGGUGAGGUAACGGCCCACCAAGGCGACGAUCAGUAGCCGACCUGAGAGGGUGAUCGGCCACAUUGGAACUGAGAGACGGUCCAAACUCCUACGGGAGGCAGCAGUGGGGAAUAUUGGGCAAUGGGGGAAACCCUGACCCAGCAACGCCGCGUGAAGGAAGAAGGUUUUCGGAUCGUAAACUUCUAUCCUUGGUGAAAAUAGUGAUGGUAGCCAAGAAGGAAGCCCCGGCU